UAAGCUUCCACAGUAUGUCUCAUCUACAGUCCUCCCUCAGUACCCGAGGGGGAGAGGUUCCUGGACUUCCACGGAUACCGUGUGGAUCUUCAAGUUCCUUAUAUAAGAUGGAACUGAAAGGAAAUGCCAUGUUUUCAUGGCAUUUCUUUCCUGGAAACUUGAACUUGCCACCAUGGGAAACCACUGCUUCAGCCAGCAAACAUGGAAUCGCCACACAGAGCCUAUAUCUUCUCAUUUUUCACUCUGGAUCAAAAUGUCACACAGGUGCUUCAGACUGGCAAAGUCUUAUUCAAGUGCCUUCAUUCUAUCUGCAAAGGAGGCUAGAAAUUUGCAUUGGGUCUCCUACAUUGGAAUCGUUCUGAAGAACUAAGCCUUCUGGAAUUGUCCCUCUGGUGUCACAGAGGUUUUGCACCCUGAGGCAGUGCACCAGGCUGACGCUUGGAAUGGGUAAGAAGGACUUUAUUUU